GGGUGUCUGCGCGCGGCUCGCGUUUCCUCCUCCCUGGCUGGGCGAGCGCGGGGGAGGCGAGGGGAGGGCAGAAGACGGGAUCUCCCUACUCGGUCCCCUGAGAGGGGGACGCGGCGCACCCCCCCUCCCUUCCCCAUUGCGCCGUGUGACUCUGCCCGCGCCGCACGGCCGGGACUGACGAGUCACAGGCGAGCAACAGCUGCUGCAGUGCGGGUCCGCCGCGGCCUUCAUCCCCCUCCCGCACUCUCCCCAGCGGCCCAUCCUCAGCACAGUCCCCUGGGCUCCAGGCGCGGGAAGGGUGCUCUAGCCGCCGCCCCCACCCUGCCCCAGCGAAGGAUCCUGGCCCAGCGCACUCCUGGGAAGCCGAGGUCCCGGACCCGGCGCGUGAUUCGAGCCCUCGCGGCUGGAUGUGCGGUCGCACACUCUGUCCUCGGGAACCUAUUUAUAGAAGGUGGCACUGUCCCCGUCGCUAGUUCGGCCUGAGAGGCUCUCAGCAGGUGGCACUUGCCCGUCCGCUCUCCGCUGUCCCCCAGGAGCCUCGCCUUAUUUGCCCCCUCGCCUUCUCCCUCCAAAAUGGACUUGGGGAAAACUGCGCAGAACACCGGGAGGCGACCAAACCACCUGGCUCUCCCCCGCAUCACCCCUUCUGCCUGCGCUAGGGUUGGGUGAUGGGAGGAGUAAACCUAGG
rnacentral:lncRNA from 1 species